UACGAAGGGGGCUAGCGUUGCUCGGAACCACUGGGCGUAAAGGGUGCGUAGGCGGGUCUUUAAGUCAGGGGUGAAAUCCUGGAGCUCAACUCCAGAACUGCCUUUGAUACUGAGGAUCUUGAGUCCGGGAGAGGUGAGUGGAACUGCGAGUGUAGAGGUGAAAUUCGUAGAUAUUCGCAAGAACACCAGUGGCGAAGGCGGCUCACUGGCCCGGUACUGACGCUGAGGCGCGAAAGCGUGGGGAGCAAACAGG
rnacentral:rRNA from 1 species